CCUGCCCUACGAGAGGGGGGACGAACCAUUGGAAACGAUGGCUAAGACCCCGGAUGUUGGCUAUAGUUAGAGGGUAGCUAACUGAAGCUUAGGUGCUCUAGGAGGGGCUAGCGAGCUAUCAGCUAGUUGGGUGAGGUAAAGGCUCACCAAGGCGAAGACGGCUAGGGGGCGUGAGAGCGCGACCCCCCACAAUGGGACUGAGACACGGCCCAU
rnacentral:rRNA from 1 species